rnacentral:rRNA from 1 species
AGAGUUUGAUCCUGGCUCAGAGUGAACGCUGGCGGUAGGCCUAACACAUGCAAGUCGAACGGCAGCACAGUAAGAGCUUGCUCUUACGGGUGGCGAGUGGCGGACGGGUGAGGAAUACAUCGGAAUCUACUUUUUCGUGGGGGAUAACGUAGGGAAACUUACGCUAAUACCGCAUACGACCUACGGGUGAAAGCAGGGGAUCUUCGGACCUUGCGCGAUUGAAUGAGCCGAUGUCGGAUUAGCUAGUUGGCGGGGUAAAGGCCCACCAAGGCGACGAUCCGUAGCUGGUCUGAGAGGAUGAUCAGCCACACUGGAACUGAGACACGGUCCAGACUCCUACGGGAGGCAGCAGUGGGGAAUAUUGGACAAUGGGCGCAAGCCUGAUCCAGCCAUACCGCGUGGGUGAAGAAGGCCUUCGGGUUGUAAAGCCCUUUUGUUGGGAAAGAAAUCCAGCUGGUUAAUACCCGGUUGGGAUGACGGUACCCAAAGAAUGAGCACCGGCUAACUUCGUGCCAGCAGCCGCGGUAAUACGAAGGGUGCAAGCGUUACUCGGAAUUACUGGGCGUAAAGCGUGCGUAGGUGGUUGUUUAAGUCUGUUGUGAAAGCCCUGGGCUCAACCUGGGAACUGCAGUGGAAACUGGACGACUAGAGUGUGGUAGAGGGUAGCGGAAUUCCUGGUGUAGCAGUGAAAUGCGUAGAGAUCAGAGGAACAUCCAUGGCGAAAGCAGCUACCUGGACCAACACUGACACUGAGGCACGAAAGCGUGGGGAGCA